rnacentral:lncRNA from 1 species
UGGACUUCACAUUUUUUGUCAACUAUAUUAUAGUGCAUAUUCCUCUCUUCAAAACAUGAACUAGCAUUAGUACCUCUCUCUAGAGAGAAGAAUAAGUUGAAUGACUUUGUUUAGUGCUUGUAAUUUAAUAUUUGUUGUUUGAUCUACCUUUAUUAUUAUACUAAAUCAAAUCCUUUCUCAAUUCUAGCAUGCAUGAUAUAAAUACAAAGAGAUAUAUAUAUCUGUGUGU